rnacentral:rRNA from 1 species
AGAACGAACGCUGGCGGCAUGCCUAAUACAUGCAAGUCGAACGAACUCUUCGGAGUUAGUGGCGCACGGGUGCGUAACGCGUGGGAAUCUGCCCCUUGGUUCGGAAUAACAGUUGGAAACGACUGCUAAUACCGGAUGAUGACGAAAGUCCAAAGAUUUAUCGCCAAGGGAUGAGCCCGCGUAGGAUUAGCUAGUUGGUGAGGUAAAGGCCCACCAAGGCGACGAUCUGUAGCUGGUCUGAGAGGACGACCAGCCACACUGGAACUGAGACACGGUCCAGACUCCUACGGGAGGCAGCAGUGGGGAAUUUUGGACAAUGGGCGCAAGCCUGAUCCAGCAAUGCCGCGUGCAGGAAGAAGGCCUUCGGGUGUAAACUGCUUUUGUACGGAACGAACGGCCUGGUAAUACCUCGGCUAAUGACGGUACCGUAAGAAGUAGGCACGGCUAACUCGUGCCAGCAGCCGC